AACGAGGAUCAUGAACCCACGAAAGAGUACUCAUACAAUCAUAGAAGAUCAUAGAGAUUAGAAAAGAUAAAACGUGGAGGUUCAAAGUAUCUAAAAGAGAGAUGGGCGUAUUGGCCAUAUACAUAUACUUAAACGCCAUCUGAUAAACCAGUGAAAUAGAUGGAUCUUGUGAGAUAAAGAAACCGUGAGAGAAGGCACAUGAUCACGAGAUCAAAGAGUGUUCAUGUCUUCCUACUUAACAGUAUUAGAUUAUAGCUUGUUACACAAGGUACUCACAGAGAUCAAAGGAACAGAUUAUAAGGAGAUAAACUCAUAUGUGGUGGAUGCUGCUACAGAUUUUCGAAAUUGAAAAUGGUCUGGUCAUAAGAAAGAAAUUAGAUACAAUGAUGUAGUAAGCAGCAU
rnacentral:lncRNA from 1 species